AAAUAAAUCUUACAUUAACCUAAGUACACUCUCAAAUUAGGAUGUAUAUAUAAAAAAAACACAUGCCUUUUGCUUUCCUAUUCAUAAUCUAUUUCUUGCACAAACAUCUUCUUCAUAAAUAAACCAUCAGUUAGCACUCUUACACUAGAUACAAUAAAUACCAAUUUCACAUCGCUCUACAUUUACAUAUACUAUCUCAUAUUUGCUUAAUCUACAAUCACUACUCUAAUAUUCAACAAAAUAAUAACCCUCUAUUUAUGAUUCUUUCUACUUUAUUUUAUAUUCCUCAUCACUCAACAACACUAUAAUAUGGGCACCCCGCGAUAGCCGCGGGGUCCAAUGCCUAGUAU
rnacentral:lncRNA from 1 species